GGGCCGUUAGCUCAGUGGGAGAGCACCUGACUUUUAAUCAGGGUGUCGCGGGUUCGAAUCCCGCACGGCUCACCA
rnacentral:tRNA from 1 species